rnacentral:rRNA from 7 species
GAAGGUGGCCUGUGAGGGUUGCUGGAGGUAUCAGAAGUGCGAAUGCUGACAUAAGUAACGAUAAAGCGGGUGAAAAGCCCGCUCGCCGGAAGACCAAGGGUUCCUGUCCAACGUUAAUCGGGGCAGGGUGAGUCGACCCCUAAGGCGAGGCCGAAAGGCGUAGUCGAUGGGAAACGGGUUAAUAUUCCCGUACUUGGUGUUACUGCGAAGGGGGGACGGAGAAGGCUAUGUUGGCCGGGCGACGGUUGUCCCGGUUUAAGCGUGUAGGUGUGUGUUCCAGGUAAAUCCGGUUCACUUUAACACUGAGGCGUGA